rnacentral:lncRNA from 1 species
CUUAGUAAAUAUUUUAAAUAUCAAGAUGUCCCAGUGCCACAUAAUUUUAGGAUUUCAGUUUUAUAAACAUUUGAUUUUCUGAUUAAGUUUUAUUACAUGAUUUUCACCUUGUGAUGAGUAGAUUCAUACCAAAAUUACAACAUUUUUCAUUUCAUGUUAAAGCAUUAAAAUAAUGUCAUGACCAAAAUAAGAAAUAAGAUAAACAAGAAACUGGAAAGAUUAGAGGUGCUGAUCAUUAAAAAAACGAUGGAAACAAUAAGAAAGCUCGCGAAAAGUUUUUAAACCAUAAAAUACAGAAGGAAAUAAAUCAGAUAAUGUUCUACAAUUAUAAACUCAUGAAAUAUCACUUACCAUAUAAUCGAGAGACCAAAUCGACUUAGCUGUUCAGGAACCACCUCCUUGAUUUAGAAACGAUUUAAAUUUUGAAAAAUGCUAGAGACACGAACUAUUUUACAAACUGGCUGAUGUGGUAUACUCCAUGUCAGCUUUUAUGUGGGGUCAAAGACUACAUUGAAUCAAUUUGGUGAUCAAUAUGAUGAGGUGGAGUAUGUCACAUCAGCAGUUUGUAAAAUGGUUUGUAUCCGUAGCAUUACUCUUAAAUUUUUAGCUGAAGUAUGACCGACCAACAUAGCACUUAGACCUAUGCAAAACCAAUAUUUGAGAGGGAAACCUGAAAUUGAAAAUUACCUUAUCAUAUUUCUUCAUUAUCUUUGAAAUGCCAUAAGAUUCAAGAAGUAGGAUUUAAGCAUCAACACAAAGAAGAAAAAAAUAGAUGAAUCGAGAAACAAAGUAAGAAGUACCUGAUUAGGAACAUGUAGCUUUUAAGAAGUCAAAAUUUAUUUAAUCACCAACACAAAAAGAAAAUAAAAAAUCAAUUAUAAUUAAAUAAGGAAACCAAGAAAGAAGUAAGUAAUUCCAUACUUGUAGUAGCUUUUAAGCUUCAACACUGUCUGGAAAUGAAUCCGUAAAUACUACUCUCUGGAAAUCAGAGCAAAUAUAUGUUUAUUUUGAAAAGCAUUGUAACAUACUUUGGUAAAUGUCAAUACCAUCUAAGUCGGAUUUUGCCACAAAUUCAGCAAGGCUAGAAUAUUAAUAAGAAGCACAGUAAAAUAUUAAUUUUGUAACAAAUUUCUACUCACUACCUCCUCAAAAGUACAAAUAUUUAUUAGAACAGCAACGCCGUCAAAAAUUAGAUACUCUCAUGAUACCUCAAAAUUUGCAUGUUAGUGAAACUUAAUGUUUCAAGUAAAAAAGUACUUUAAACUUUUGCAUAAAUAAAGGGCGGCACAUAGGCAUACCCAUAGAUUUUACCCAAAUUCAGCAACCUACAAUAAAAAAAUCUUAUAAUUAGUCAUAGAGAAUGGGAGGGGGAGACGUAUUCUCAACAAUCAUACACAAUCUCUAUCGCAACAUAAAUCUAUUAUGAUUGUAGAGUUGGUUGUCAAAAUGGAGCCAAGCAUUACAAAGAAAGAGAGCACUUCACUAGUUGCAAUAUAGAAAACAUGAUGAACAUCACAUCAAUUUUGUUUAUACCUACAAAUACACCAUCCCAUUAUUAAAAUUUAAAGUAAAACUAACACUCCAUACAAUAAAAUAAUUACUAAAUAAGAAAAAUAAAUCAUCCAACUUACAUUUGUUAUCAUUCUUCUAGGUAGUUGUCAAAAUUAACCAAAGCCAACCAUCA